rnacentral:rRNA from 1 species
GGUGAAAAGCACCCCGGAAGGGGAGUGAAAUAGAACCUGAAACCGUGUGCUUACAAGUAGUCAGAGCCCGUUAAUGGGUGAUGGCGUGCCUUUUGUAGAAUGAACCGGCGAGUUACGAUUUGAUGCAAGGUUAAGCAGUAAAUGUGGAGCCGUAGCGAAAGCGAGUCUGAAUAGGGCGUUUAGUAUUUGGUCGUAGACCCGAAACCAGGUGAUCUACCCUUGGUCAGGUUGAAGUUCAGGUAACACUGAAUGGAGGACCGAACCGACUUACGUUGAAAAGUGAGCGGAUGAACUGAGGGUAGCGGAGAAAUUCCAAUCGAACCUGGAGAUAGCUGGUUCUCUCCGAAAUAGCUUUAGGGCUAGCCUCAAGUGAUGAUUAUUGGAGGUAGAGCACUGUUUGGACGAGGGGCCCCUCUCGGGUUACCGAAUUCAGACAAACUCCGAAUGCCAAUUAAUUUAACUUGGGAGUCAGAACAUGGGUGAUAAGGUCCGUGUUCGAAAGGGAAACAGC